UAUUUAAUAUAUACACCAUUGUUAUAACAACUACAGGUAACUCAGUUACUUGAUUGAUUGUGCUAUAUAAAGGCACCUUUUGGGAGGAAAACACAUAAUACUCCCCCUUUAAGGCAAGUGCAUGUCCGGCUUUGUUAGCCGUUCCAUCUUCUCCUAACCAGUCGUUUGGGAUCUGAUGAGUCCAGCUGCUGAUGCAGACAUUUUUUUAAUCAUUGUCUGGGUCUUUUUUUCUUUCCUGUCCUGUUUUAUGAUGUGCCAAAUGUUCUCAGCGGAUUAGCCAGGCCCCUUCAGCACCUAAGCUCUCACUGCUCGUCCAUAUUAGCGUGAUUCAUACACGAGACUCUUUCACAUUGUUAAAGCGAGAAAGCCUGUUCCCUGAAACUGACGCAACCUCCAUGGACAACGCAUUGUGCCCAGUGUGUGAUUCUCAGCAUUGUUGUUGAGCUAAUUAUGGAAUUUAGCAUUGCUUUGUGUUGCUAAAAGCAGUUUUCACAGAGUGUAGAAGGCGCAUUGUGUCUUUGUCAUAACGGCAAAAGUAUGUUUUGUUUUUUUUCCACAAGGAUUUAAAUUUCUUAGUAAUCUGACCCGAAGGCAGUUUUUGACAGUAUAUUUAAAAUGAGAAGAAGAGUGUGUGAGGUUGCUGCGGCUCCAUAAUUACGCAGUGUGGCCCGUAUAUCAAAGAGGCUCUCUUUACACUCCAACCAUGUUACAGAUCUGUUGUCACUCAAGCAGAUGAGAUAAGAGACAGAUGUUUCCUUUAAGGCUGCUCUUAGCUUUUGCUUCUCUCUCCCAGGCUUCGCUAAAUACAAAGAGACUGAGCUGAUGUAAACCCACUGUUUAAACUCCUGCUAGCAGCCUAAUUCAAUUGGAAAUGUCCUAAUUGGUUACAAUCUGUUGAUGUUUAUAGCAGAUCCCACAAGCACGUUAACAUAAUCUGGAGGGGGUCAGGAUGAGGAAUGUCUGGUUUGAAUAUUAGUUUUACGUUGUACUUUUAACAAGUUAUUCGAACCCUUAUUUUCCAGGAUGGACCAAUUUAUACGACUGCACCUCGUUUUUAAAGCUGCUUUCAUUUAGAUUUCUGUUUAUUUCUUAAAUACUUUAAACACAGGGGCACAAGUGUUCCAGGAUGCUUGCCCUAAUAAGGGCAAAAGCUAUAUUCACGGCAGGUCAGUAAUCAUAAUCAUUUACUCUCUGUCUGUGUUAAAAAGAAUAAUAAUAAUAAAUGUUUGACUGCAUUCACUGGACUGACCAGUACGUAGAACUGGACAGUCCAAGAAAGAGAGGGGGGGGGGGGGGGGAAUGUGGAUUUAACAACUUUAGUUUUCCAAGAUGAUCAAUUACAGCAGGUUAAUUUUAUCCAGAUGUGUCAGAGUGAAAAAAUAAAGUUGUAUCACAAAGGAAAUCUGAUCACAGUGUUACUGGAUGCGAUGUUAUGUGAAUGUUUGUGGCGGUACUAUGACUCUCCAUGUGUUAGAAACCUUUCGCAAUAAAUUCAAACUUAGAAAAAAGAGAGAAAAAAAAUCAUCCUUAAAAGCCACAAAUUGAUAUGAAAAUGUUGCAGAUGAUGAUUGAAUGCAAACUUCUGACUGAAGUUACAUGUUAUAUUAUUUUUCUUUCUUUCUUUUUUUUUAAAUAAUCAAAUACCUAAAACUAUUCAUUCCUUGAUCACAGACACACGAGCAAGUGAAGUUGGGAGCGAUACUUAAGAGUUUUGUUUUGAAACGAAAAUAUCUCACCAGUCAUAUCUGUGCAAGUGGGAACAAACGCUAAUUUAUUUUUUUUAAAGAUUUCAACAAAAAAGAAUUGAUAAGAUUUACAAGAAAACACAGAUUCCACAUGUUGGAGAAGAGCACAUAUCUUCUUCUGGUAAACAGUCAUGUUGCUAACCCUCCAGUGUUUGUAUUAGCAUAAACACACGUGACAGAGCAGCGAUAUUACCGUAAUAACGAGCAGCACCAGCUAGCUGCUAAUGCACAUCACAUGCUGCGACAUGCCUGCAGCACUGGAGACUCCCUGGGCUCCUCUUCUUCUUCUUUUUUUCCCCUUUCAUCUCCGCUGUGGCCACGCUCCAGAUGAUAUAACAGCUCAGUCGAAAUCCAAGCAUCCCAAAAACAAACCUUAAAUAUUAAUACAGCGAACGCCACUUACGUAAGCCGCCACCGCGAGGCAGGCAGGCAAGGCACGUGGAGUUCAUGAGAAAAGCCAUUUUGAUGGAGUGAAAGUUGUUUUGAACUCUCCUCUGGCUUUUUGGAAAAUGCCAGCCUCAUAAUUACCCGUCGAGCAUCCUUUGAUUUGUGCGUUGCGCGCGCGCGCUCUGAUGUGGAUUUGAGUUUGACGCCGCGUGAGCUCCUUUCAUCUCCAUUUUGGUUUUCAAAAGAGCAACACGAGGUCGCUGUUUACUAGCGGGGUGAGGCGGAGCACGCAUCGCAGGAAGCAUUUCGUCUCGGACGGAGGAGAUACUUAAAAAUCCGCAGAUGUCUUAAAUAUUUACACAAGGUGCGCAGCCCUUUUUUUUUUUUUUACCUCCAGUUUCCUCUCUUUGGAUCUGUGGAGCUGAUGGUUUACAGCUUUUCUCUGGGGGCGAUCCACCAGGGACACAUUCUGAACAGCUUUAUUCAUCCAUCAGGGGAACCUAAAUAUUAUUUUAAAGGGAAGGGCUAAAACGUGAUGUCUGAUAUAUAUUUUUUAAUGGGACAACUGUUAAGCAGACUAAACCACUAAUUUUGCUGCAACAUGUACAUUUUUGUUGUUUUGUGCAUUUCUCCGUCUGAUGUUAUCUCAGUUCAUCAGGUUUGUAUCGACUCAUUUUUCAGCAGUUGAAAAGUUAAUUUCUACAGACAUCUAACUCACUUUGGAACAUAGUUUGUGGUAUUCAGAGAAAUCCCUAAAAAAAACUCCACCACUGGUAGAUUAUUUGUUCAGUUCUUUGCAACGUAUUCAAGCAACAUGACGACUUUUUUUUUUUUUUUUUUUCCCAAUUUUUGUCACAUUUCCAAAACAAACUCCAAUGUAGGUUUUUUUUUUGGAGAUAUUAUAUGGUAGGCCAACUUAAACAGUACAUAACUGGGUAUUACCAAAAUGAUUCCUGGUUGUAGAAACGUUUUAUAAAACAAAAAUCUCAAAAGUGUGGCGUGCUUUUGUUUCCAGAAUCCCUGAGUGGAUUCUGUGGAACCACACUUUGCAGCAGUUGCAGGUGAAAGUUUUGGGAUUUGUCUGUUGUUUUUUUCUCCAAUCUCACCACGGAUUGAAGCUUAAAUAUUAUUUUAUAGCCUAAAAUAAUAUUUAAACGCGACCUGUCUUCAGUGUUCCCUGGUUUCCAUGAUAUUUGUUUCCUAAUAUUCCUCCAACAAACCUCUGAGGUCUUCACACAGCAGCUGCAUUUACGCAAAGGUUACAUUUUUUACACAUUUUGUACUCUAUUUACUUUUUAUGUGGCUUCUGUUGGGAGUUGGGUGUGUGGCGUUUUAUUUAGUGAUAUUGGAGGCAGAAAUCACACGACGCUUUUCAGGCUUUGUGUAAAUGAAUGUAAAUGAAAAAACUUCUACUUAAUGUGUUGGUCUACCACAGAGCUCCAUGUUACUAAGUUUUUAUGUACCGUAGAUUAUCCUUUUUGUCAGGUCGCUAUGACGUUCUUUUGAAUAUUUUCAGCAACAUGAUUUAAACAAAUAUUUUAGCUAAUCCGUUGUGUCUUUUCUGCCAACAACAAAAGGAAGUCGCCCUGCAUUAUAUUGCGCAACAUAAGCAUGUCAGCGUUUUUCAUUUAGGUAAGCUUUGCAUGCAUCUUUUCAAUCUAUCCAGCUAUGUAUUAUAAUAAUAAUAAAAAAAAACAUGAUCACGUGUCCAAAGCGGUGGCAUGUCAGCUCUAGAACUGAAGAAAGCUUAAUAAAAUAUAAACAAAUUGGAUUUAUUUUGAUGGAAACAGUAAUUUCCUCACUGAAGUGAUUUAUCGCAAAUGCCUCGAAACGUAGCUGGGGCUGUUUGGUGAGGUUUAACCAAAAAAGAUAGAAAGAAAGUAGCUCUGUAUGCAUGAAAGCUCUUUAAUAUUGCUGCAAUGUGAAUGUGCCGUUAAUUAAGUCAGCGGUUAUCCCUGAAUUGUUCGUUUCUUUUCCAUUUCGUUCACCUGGACGUCAGGAACGCCUUCCUGCCCUGAACGUAGCGACGCCGUUGAAGUCGCUUCUAGUCAGUCAGUGAUUAUUUUAUCGUCGCCUCUCCACCCACUUUCUCCCUCAUCAGUCAGGGAGGAGGGAAAUCAGGAGGCCGCAGAUAACAAGUACCAUGUCAGCUGUAGUAAUGGAUACACCGCCAUCUGCACCUCGGGGAUUAUUCGAUUUGCCCUGACAUGGUGAAUUACAUCGUGACAGCCUGUCCCUUUUAUUUGCUAAUUAAAUUCAGAGUCGUUUACCACUCUGAGCGUUUGACAGAAAGGCACAGAGAGAGAGAGGCUGGCUCACCUGACCCGAAACUCGUCUCUGGACACGACCGGGGCCGGUACCUUCAGAACGGAUCUCGACAUGGAAGAAAGAUCUGCAUGUAGGCCAGAAGCCGAUGCCGACUGCAAAUGUGGCGUCGAGGACUAUUGAACACCGGAUCCAGGCAGAACCGUGAGAAUCCGCGUGUUGAUGACAAUAUGUUCAAAAAUGUGGAAUUGAAGAAUUUUUGUACGCUUUUCAUUUUUCAACAGACAAAUAACUGUGCGUUGUUUUGUUUUUUCUUUUUAGUUUUCUUACGUUCGUGUUCCUUUCCUGUCUUAUUAUGCUCUCCUUAGUUUCUCUUGUGUCAGUAGUCUGCCUCCUGGCUGUUUCCAUGGCAUUCUUGCUCACCACUCACCAGCGAUGCCAUAUUAUCCUCAUGUGUUUCAUCUGAUCUGUCACUCAAACUCCUGACUUUCCACCUUUCAGCAUCGGACUCCCUAUUUUCACGUGUUUUUUCACAUUGUCUUUGUUCCUUUCUGCAUCCCAUUUUUCUGUUCCUGAUUUUAGUCCCUCUGUUUUUUUGGUGGGGUGGGGGUUGCAGCUUGUGCAGUGCAAAGCGGGAAACGCUACCUGUUACGACAUCAGAGAAAGUCGCGUUACACACCAAAAGUCUCGGUAUUCUGAGGGGAAUCCAGAUUUUUUUCAAGCAAGCCCAACUCCACGCGUCCUUCGUCAACUCAGUCAACUUUUCCUUAACAGUUAUGUCCAUUAAGAUUACAAUGCAUCGAGGCAAGCAACUUUUGCUGAAAUGCAGCCAACGUUCAAAUAAAUCAGCACAGUCAGAUUCAACAUUAAGGACUGGUUGGAAAUUUUGAUUUCCAAACUGCACCUUGCAAAUCUAACAAACUAUUAAGGGCUUUUUACAUUUUCUAGCCAUUAAAGAAAGUAUACUCUAUCCUGCUGAUUUAUUCAGUUCAGUUAACUAGGAUUCUAGUGGUUACUGUGUACUGGAAGCUAAUCAUGUCAAGGAAAUAAAGAGUAAAACUGUAUAUGGGUCGUAAUGCCUGACAGAUUACGGCCAAGUUUCAUCAAUCCAUCAACAAAAGGAGUGUUUCAGUUUUUAGGUAAGAGGUGUCCUAACCUACUUCGACCAGAGCGUUUAUAAAUCACAUUCCCCUUAUUUCUAGACAUGUCACUCAAAUCAACACAUUUCCUGCUAUAACCGAUUUAUAGAAUGUCAUUUACUUCUACUUUAUUAUUGUUAUUAUAAGUUAAAGUGAAUACAGUUCUAAAAUUCCUUCUACAAAGUUUGACUUUGGUUUUUUUUUUCUCUCAAGCACAGAAACAACUUUGACUUGACUUUUUUUAUUCUGCAUAAAAGAUAAAGACUAAAGGUUGCAGAUAAAGACAUUAGACCCUCCUGUGCUCUUAGCGGUAACAGCAACGGGUUGACAUAUUUGUUUCCGCCAAGCUGAAGAGUUUCAACCUGCUGACCCAGGUAUUCUGACCCAGGCUUUCUUCCUAAAAGCCGCCUUUUUCUCCUCAUUCACCAAAUAUUGGUGUCCCAGUUUGUUUCUUAUACCCAAAGCCGCCCCUCCUCCGAGCUUUCCAGUAGACUAAUAUUUGUCUUUCCGCCUCCUCCUACUCUGCGAACAUCUGGUCUCGAGGUUUUUUUUUUUGGAAGCAACACAAACCUCCUUGGCUAGCCUCUGUCUUUUGAUGACUGCGUACAUGACCGUCAGUAGUUUACCGUGACCGUAAACAGUCUCCUCUCUGACCACCAACACAACGCGAGCCCCAGCCGACCGUGAAUGUUGAGACAGAGGUCUGCCUGUGAAGAAGUGGAGAGCAGCACUCCAAGCUGAAAGAGAGAGAGAGAGAGGAAGGGGGACGAAACACAGAAUAAAGCAAGAGAUUAGAGGAAAAAAUGGCGACGGAGAGAGUCAAAUUGGCAGAAGUGGUGUGCGAUGGAGAGGAGGAACGCUGACGGGAAAGGGCUUCGACGAUCCAUUGCAGCGUGGCGAAAGGGAGAGGGGUCGACUCUCCGUUGAAAGACGGAGACGGAUGUUACCCGGCGGUUCGUCACGUCCCCCUGUGGGGUCCGGAGGGGCCCCGGCGGUGUCUCCCGCCUGCUGUCAGGCCUCUCGCUCCGUCGCCCUCUGCUCUUUUUCAACAUCUGGAGCCUGUUUAGUAUCACAAACACUGGAGCCCCAGCCAUGACAAGUCUGCUGAGAAUGACUGUUUUGGAACCUUUUUAGAGAGUGAUAGGAUUUAAGUUGAACACUAUUCAUUCCCCUCCCCCUCCUCCAUUACCCCUAUUCAUUACAUUCAUUGUAGUAAUCAUUCCUAAUCUAGUAGCUCUAAAUCACCAGGCCUCCUUGUGCUAACCUCAAACUGCUAAAUCAUGUUUGAGUAAAAACUUUGGUAUUUUUACUGGAAGAAAAUUUGUUGUUUUUAAUGGACGAGCCUUCCAGGAAGGCAUGCAUCACCGUGGGGCGCCUCCGCGAUCUCAAUUAACAACGGCCGCUGUAGUGCUUGCAGAUGCUGCGCCGCUCGGAUUUUAACUGCCUCGGCGCCGUUUCUUUGCUUGUCAACACGAGUGAGUCACGUUUUACGCUGAGGAUUUUUAUUUUUUAUUUUUUUUCAUUUUUUACAUGAGCUGCAAACCGCCACCAAUUUGUAGGUGCGCAUGUGUUUGCGCUCAGCCCGCCCCCUGCGGCCGGAGGAUUGGAGACGGGCAAGCGGCUCUCUGCGAAAGCGUUUAACGCUUGGAUUUCCACGCCGCUCGCUCGGAAGAUGGGCACGCCAUUAAUUCUGAGUGGUCAGCGACAUGACCUCCGACCCCCCAGCCUUCCCCUGGCCCCUCCCUCCCCUUUCAGAUGACCGCUCGUGGGAACCGAUCCUUCGAUUCGCCGCGUUGGUUCAGGGUCGCAAAGUUCUCCUCAGGUCAAAGUAAAGAUGCUACAUAAAUAAGGUUUUGGAGGUGGGGGAGGCCGUUGACGGACGGCAUUUGUAGCUUUUAGAGUUGUACAUAUAUGUACACAAGUGGAACGUGCUGCUAUGUUAAGCUUCCAGUUGUGAUACUUUGUUUUUAUUGAAAGAUCUUUGGGCACAAAGCCAACAAAGUAUCUUUGGGGCACAUUUUCCACAUGCAGCUGCGCUACAGUGCGCUUAUGUGUGUGUUGUCUGCGUGUGGGGGUGUGUGUAGGUGUGUGUGUACAGUCAGAAGGGGGUCGACGUGGGAGAGAGGUGGAGGGAGUUCCUGGGCACCGGGCCUGUGACAGUAAAACAUUUCAGAGGCCGUCCGUCAACGGCCUAAUGGUUUCAGCAGACGGGGUCUGGAUUUUGGCUUUUCCCCACCGCCGACACCAAUGGCCAUAAAACACUGCUUGUUUGGAAUGCAAAACAUGGAUCCAAAGGAUGUGAGCAGGAACGCCGCGGCUUACAAAAUAAAAGACCUCGAAGCUUUUUUAAAAAUUUUUUUUAAAGAAAGACGUCAGAGAAUGACGGGUUGUUGCAACUUACCACAGUGUGAAGGCUGCGCAGACAGAGGAAGGAAGGUGUUUACAGGACCUUUAACACCCAGAGCCAAAAGGAAGGGAGAGUUUAAAUAAUCUGGAAAACAACAACAAAAAAGUCACUAUCUCUUCAUUUAAUCUGAAAAAGUAAGAUUAAAACAAGUUUUUUUAAUUUGUCAGGAGCUGCAGAAGGUGAUGGUUCGAUGCUUUUAAAGUGAGUUUUUGAAGGUUAUAAGCAGUUAAUGCCAUAUGUGCAGCAGAUAACGCUGCCAGCAUCUUCACUUACUGCAGGGGUGUCAAACUCCAGUCCUCAAGGGCCGCAGUCCUGCAACUUUUAGAUGUGCCUCUGUUGCACCACCUGAAUAGAAUAAUUAGGUCAUUAAGACUCUGGAGAACUGAUCUACACAAGGAGGAGGUAAUUAAGCCAUUUCAUUCCAGUGUUUUGUACCUGUGGCCCAUCUAAAGUCUGUAGGACCCCGGUCCUUGAGGACUGGACUUUGACACCUGUAACUUACUGUAAAUCCAGAUUAGUCGUGCUCCGAAUGAGCCUAAAAUAACAUCACAGUGGUCUCAGCAAAUGCUGUUUUAUAAACAUGUAAAGCGCAACAAAAUUUUAUUAGAUUUUUAAUUUAUUAAGGAGAAAAUACGGUUACAUGUCAGAAAUGCAUUUAAGAAUAUUGAGAAAAAUGGAAAACAGUCAUGAUUGCCUUGUAUUAAUCACAUAGUGAGCGGCUGCUGGAGGACUCAACUGCAGACGUGAUGGUGGUGGAGAAAAAAAGCAACAGCCCUAACCCAAUAGAAAAAACCAAAGUAGAGCAAUGAGAACUAAGUAAGGAGGAGAGAAGAGUGAAAAAUAAAUUGGGUGAGUUUACUCAGGGGGAGUUCUGAACAGCAGAAGAACAGCAAAUGAAGGAAGGAGACUAAUAAACACAAAAAAGAGCUGAACUGAAUACAAAAUAUCUAGAAAUCAAAAGGGGAAAAAGUCAAAAUCAGCAAAAGAUCCUAAACCAAAACGCUUGGAGAACAGAAACACGACAAUUAAUCAAGGAACUGACAUGUAAGGAGCGAACCUGUACGGCAAGACCACAACAACAAUAAUGAACAACUCUUGAGAAAUCAGAAAACAAACGCAAGAAGAAAAAUCAAAACACAAACACCACAUAAGAAUCUCACACGCGAAUCUGGAACCAUCGCUUUAGAGGAAAUAACAACAACUGGGUCAGUAGGAAGACAUACAAUGUUUAGGGAAUAAAGAAAGUACACAUUGGGAAGGAGGAAAAAAAAAAACAAUCAAAAGUAGGACACAAACUGUGAUGU